UACAGAGGGGGCAAGCGUUGUUCGGAAUUACUGGGCGUAAAGGGCGCGUAGGCGGCCUUCUAAGUCGAACGUGAAAUCCCUGGGCUCAACCCAGGAACUGCGUCCGAGACUGAAAGGCUCGAAUCCGGGAGAGGGAUGUGGAAUUCCAAGUGUAGCGGUGAAAUGCGUAGAUAUCUGGAGGAACAUCGGUGGCGAAGGCGGCAUCCUGGACCGGUAUUGACGCUGAGGCGCGAAAGCCAGGGGAGCAAACGGG
rnacentral:rRNA from 1 species